rnacentral:ncRNA from 10 species
AUCGUUCAAUUUAAUCAUUUGGUUAAAUCGGAAGUAGAUCUUUUGAUCGAAGGAACGCAUG